rnacentral:tRNA from 1 species
CAUAUUAAAGUUUAAUUUUGAAUUCUUCUUUUACACUGAUGAGGUCUCCGUAAGGGGUAGUAUGA